GGUCGGAGAAGUAGGAAACUCCUGCCGGGCUCGUGGCAGCUUCUGUCCGCUCCGCGGCGGGAAGCGCCUUCCCCACAGCCUCUGGAAUGACUUCCCUCCUCUGCUUGGCUAAAGUCUAGCUUAAAGAACCUGGAAGCUUUUCUGAGCCAGCUCAGUCUACAGGCAGCCUCCAUGGACAUCAAUGCAAGCUUGAAUAAGAAA
rnacentral:sRNA from 1 species